UUUUGAGAAAACAAUAUUACAUGACCUUAAUACACUAUAAAUUGACUAAAUCAUAUUCUAUUUGGUACAACAUAGAAAAAUAUGGCUAGAACUCUCAAGUUUGUUUAUGCUGUGAUUUUAUUUCUUUCCUUGUUUCUUGUUGCCAAGGGGGAUGAUGUAAAAAUUAAAUGUGUAGUUGCGGCCAAUUGUCCAGACCUUAUGUAUCCUUUAGUUUAUAAGUGCCUUAACGGUAUAUGUGUACAGUUUACGUUGACGUUUCCUUUUGUUUGAUAUAAGUAUCGCGCCGAAGAGGAGUGAGUUCUUGCACUAGCAAAAAAUCUAUGCAACAUACCUUAUAGUUAUACCGCAAGUUGCCAUUUAAUCUUUUUAGUAGCAUCCAAUAAUUGUAUCUUUUAUUUUUUUUCUUUUUACAACUUCAUGGAUGUUGAAACUAUGACUCUACACUCAAAGAUGUUGAUAAUAAAAUGAAAUUAGGCACUAAAUAAUAUUAUAACUGAAUUGUGUCUUAUAUCUUAUUUUUGAAUGUAUCACCAUUGUGAGAUUUGAUAGACUUUGAUGUUUUCAAAUGCACCGAGAAUUGGGAUCUCAGCUUCUCUGCCA